CCUACGGGUGGCAGCAGUGAGGAAUAUUGGUCAAUGGACGAGAGUCUGAACCAGCCAAGUAGCGUGAAGGAUGACUGCCCUAUGGGUUGUAAACUUCUUUUAUAUGGGAAUAAAACGUUCCACGUGUGGGAUUUUGUAUGUACCAUAUGAAUAAGGAUCGGCUAACUCCGUGCCAGCAGCCGCGGUAAUACGGAGGAUCCGAGCGUUAUCCGGAUUUAUUGGGUUUAAAGGGAGCGUAGGUGGAUUGUUAAGUCAGUUGUGAAAGUUUGCGGCUCAACCGUAAAAUUGCAGUUGAAACUGGCAGUACUGAGUACAGUAGAGGUGGGCGGAAUUCGUUGUGUAGCGGGGAAAUGCUUAGAUAUCACGAAGAACUCCGAUUGCGAAGGCAGUUCACUGGACUGCAACUGACACUGAGGCUCGAAAGUGUGGGUAUCAAAUAGGAUUAGAUACCCGGGUAGUC
rnacentral:rRNA from 1 species